GAGUACUGUGUCCAAGCCUGGGGCCCUCAAUGCAAGAAAGAUGCGGAGCUGCAACGCAGGUUCUGAGGAGGGCCACAUAUAUGUUCAGAUGGCUAGAGCACUUCUAUGAAGGAAGGUUGGGAGGGAGUUGGUCUUGUUUAACUUGGAGAAGGCUCCAGAGAGACCUCACUGCAUCUUUCCAUUACUCAAGGGGAGCUUAUAAGUAGGAGGUGACUUUUUACAUGGUCUGAUGGUGAUGGUACAAGGGGGAAUGGUUUUAAACUGUAAGAGGGGAGAUUUAGAUUAGAUGUCAGGAGGAAAUUUUUAACUCAGAGGAUGGCGAGGCACUGGUACAGGUUGACCAGACAAGCUGUGGAUACCACAUCCCUGGAGACCAGGCUGGAUGGGGCCCUGGACCAUCCUUAUAUCACUUCUUAAUCUGUAAUUUUUAGUGACUAGAUUAAAAUGCUUUUUUCUCUCACUUCUGCUACUGAUUUAGUUUUUUGUAGUUUUUUCUGAACAUUUUGCAAAUAGCCAAACUUCUGCUUACACGUCUCUGCCUACUUCUGAUGAUCACGUCUCAGUAAUGAUCUUACUAGUUGUUCAUAAAUGGUAGUAGUAAAAUAUCUUUAUUUUUGCCUGGUAGCCUCCAACAAUAUAUGUCCAGGACAGCAUUUGCUGGUUCAUCCUCUGUGUUGCACUGGGAGCUCUUGUUUGCUGUUUGCCACUAAAUCCUUUUCUGUGUUUGUACCUAAAGAUUAUCAACCAUAUGUACAAUUAAUCUAUAUUUUCAUUCUUAAUGAAAGGUCCUUAUUAACCAUCUCCUGUGGCUUUAGACCAAUUAACUAAUCAGCCCAGGUUUCCAUGUGGUACUGUAACAUCUUUAUCAUUAUUCAUAAUGAUCAAUUCUGGUGUUGUUUGAAAUGAUUUUGUAUCAUCUUCUACAUUUUUUAAAAUAAUGUUUUUUAAAAUAAUCAAAUCCUGUUGAGCAACAAAGCCUUCUCGAUUAUGCUAGUGUAUUUAAUAAUUAUGUCCUAUUUAUAUUUACUUUUUAAAGAUGCAUUUCCUUCUGAUGGAAUAAGGCACAGUAACAUAUGCUAUGCUGUUUUGCAUGGAAAUACAAUUGAGUAGUCUACUGUGUAAAAUGAUGAGCCAACAUAACGCACAAUGAAAAGUAUAAUAGAUUAAAAAAAAUAAAGUCUAAUUAUCUAAUAGUGUUGGUGGCAAAUUUUUCACCCUGGACUUAGUUAUUCAGGUGAACUGCUUUAAAAGUAAUUAUUUCCUAUGACUUUCAUUGCAUGGCUUUCUAUGAGGAAAUGACUUGUGUAAUUGUGGUUGGGUUUUCCAGGUUUAGUUAGCAUCAUGGAUAAGGGCUCUUAAAAAUGUGCGACUACUUGAGAAGCAAUUGAUUUUACUGGAGUUUGCUGAUUGAAGAGAUAUUAUAUCAAGGAGAGAUUGAUUUUGGCUUAAGAAAUAACUGUUUCACAAGUGCUUGGUCUUUAAUUAUCUUACUUAAAUGUGAUCAUUUCCCAGCUAGCUGCUUUUCCUCUUUUUUUGCUUUUGUUCUAAAUUAGGAUUAUCAGGCCGAUAAAUGAAAAUGAAAUCUACAUCAUAUAUGAAAAAAAAAGGCUAAAGCUAGACUGAACUGAGCCAAUUUAUGCAAUCUUUCUUACUCGCUGAAUCUCGUCAGCUUCAAUAUAUGGAGAGUACAAGCUCAUUACUGGGUGAGAUAUUAAAUAGAGUGCCUCCUAAAUACAACCCUGACACAUGAGAGAAGUAGGUUUUACAGUCCCCAAAGUCAUUUACGUCUAUACACGAUUUGUUUUUUAAUCCUUGUGCCUGACUUUUCAAUUUAUAAAACAAGAAUAAUUAUCUUACUUUCUUUUAUUAAGUGCUUUGAGCACUGUCAUGGAAAAAUAUGCUCUGUAAGAAGCAGAGUUAUAAUGCAGACCCUAUGCAGCUUCAGUCUUUUCAAAAGAUGGGUUUACUUUGGGUAAUGAAUGAUAUAUAUAUGGAGGCUGGAAAGAACCUGAGAGGUGACUCCUUCAUCUCUAUCAGCCCAAAAGCUCAAAGUGAGCAACUUCUGGAUGUUGCUGUGCAUGUACCUCAGCCAUGCAGAGGAAAGCCAGCCUAGGAGAUUGAUGGGAAAUAAAUAAAUAAAUAAAUAAAUAAAUAAAUAAAUAAAUAAAUAAAGAACCAGAGAAACAGCCAUUUAUUGCAAAAGGUGAUAGGGCUUGGCUUGGGUUUUGUACCAAAAACAACAACAACAAAAAAAAA
ensembl:lncRNA